rnacentral:lncRNA from 1 species
CUUACACAGACCAGCUUGCAAAGGUUUGAAGGACACCCUGGGGAUUGCUGAGAUUGCUGUCUCAGUCGUAGGCAGUAGCAUGUAUCACCAGUUGUGGGUUCAGUUUGUGGUUCUUGAGGCGAAUCUUACUCUGAUUUUUACAGAGAAUCAUGUGGUGCGCUUGGGGUGUUAAGUUAGUUUAGCAGUGUAGACUGAUUUCUGUUGGAAUCAUGGUGCUGACUCUCCUCUUUCCAACAGAGGAACAAUGAAGUCAGCUUUUGCAGUUGUGACCUCUGUAGGCUUCCCAGGAGAGCUGUGGGCUGGCAAAAUCCAGCAGCUGAAGGUGCACUCCCUGAGUAAUCAGCUUGCCAGGACUUGGCUGGAUUUGAACCCAGAAAUGCAAAGACUGAGCAAUGGAAAUGAACUGUCAGCAGCUUUUGAAUCCAAUGUGCUGAAUGUUGCCGGGAGCCCAGAAUAAUAAACUGUGUUUCAAGAUGUAGACCUGUGGAUGAAAUAUAUGUUCCAUUAAUGGUUCUGAGAACAAUAUUAUGGAUAAACUCCACAAGCUUCUUGAUCCAGUUUGGUAGCAGAACACAUUGCUUGGAAAUUACAGAACUAUUUCAGCAAGAUUGUAGGGGAGAGUGAUGUUUAUAUUAGAGUUUGCAGGCCUGCUUUUCUUCUGGGGAGAAGAGUCUGAUUUUUAAAAAAAAAGUAUGUAAGAAGUAGGCAUGUAUAGGAGAAGGCCUUUGUUUCAUUCUUAAGAUAUUCUUGAUAUGUUUAGUUUUGUACAAUUUUUAGUUCUUUAAAUGCCUAUGCUGAUUUCUUCAAGAUACGUGUCACUUCAGGUGUUGAUUAGUUUGAACUUUCUUUCCUGAAAAUGAAUAUUUCAACUGUACCUUUAAAGUUGAUUAAAAAACCCCAAACCAACAAUGCUAAUACCAAGCAGCAUUUUAACUUUCAUUCCUAGAUUUAAGUAGCUAAAGGAUCUGAGGAUGAUUCAUAAACACAGAACUGGCUAAGCAAUAAAAAUCAGUGCAUAUAAAACA